AACGAACGCUGGCGGCAUGCCUAACACAUGCAAGUCGAACGAGACCUUCGGGUCUAGUGGCGCACGGGUGCGUAACGCGUGGGAACCUGCCCUUAGGUUCGGUAUAACUUACCGAAAGGGGUGCUAAUACCGGUUAAUGUCUUCGGACCAAAGAUUUAUCGCCUUUGGAUGGGCCCGCGUUGGAUUAGCUAGUUGGUAGGGUAAAAGCCUACCAAGGCGACGAGCCAUAGCUGGGCUGAGAGGAUGAUCAGCCACACUGGGACUGAGACACGGCCCAGACGGCGACGGGAGGGAGCAGUAGGGAAUAUUGGGCAAUGGGCGGAAGCAUGAUCCAGCAAUGCCGCGUGAGUGAUGAAGGCUUUAGGGUUGUAAAGCUAUUUUACCCGGGAUGAUAAUGACAGUACCGUGAGAAUAAGCACCGGCUAACUCCGUG
rnacentral:rRNA from 1 species